UUUUGAGCUGCUGACUGAUGGAUCAUUUUAAUUCUAGAAUGUGAUCUUGGCCUACGUGAUCUUACCAGUUUGUGUAGAAAACAAAGAUGCUGAGAUGAUGCUCCACUCACUUCUUCCCUCCACACGUUGGUGUUGAGUGAGCAGAAAGAUGGUGUACCACUGACACUACGACUUUAUACCAGUUCUAAUGUUGACUUUAUACUUGAAUUGGCCAAUGAUGAACCACAUUCGGUUUUCAGUUUGACUAAUGGAAUAUUAAUGUGUUGGACCCAAGCUGAGAUGCCAACAUCUCAUUGUUAUUACACAAAUAUUGUCACCAGUCAUGUGGUUGACUCUUUUCUCAGCUGUUCCUCCAUGCUCUUGUAAUCGUUUGAAUGCCGCAUCUUUUGUUAUUGUGUUAACAGACACCCCCUCUAUUUUUUGUUUUCUAUUGAACAACUCUGUUCAUAUGUUGAGGGUCAGUUACACAGUUUUGCCAGUAGGUGGCGAUCUGGCUCCAAUUGUUGAUCAAUUGGAGAGCCCAUGCGUGUACGCUCUUCCCAUGCGCAGGUCAGAAAUAAAGGAGCAAGGCACAUGUGCUAAUGUGGUCCCCUCUCUGUUAAUCCACAGGUUACGCAGUGUCCCCUGGCCUGUGUAACCCUCGCUGCCGGUCCAGAUUACCCGUAGGUCUGGUGCCGGUAACACUUUACCACCCUUGCAUGUCUAUGGAAGUUCUUUUACAGAGUAAUUCAUUUGCCUGCAACAGACUAUGGUAUUCUUGUAGUCAGGAAGUCACUCUUGGGAAGUAAUCGUUCCCUGCUUGCAAAUGACAAGCUCACCGAUGUCCGGAGUUGCUAACAGCCUUUUUCCACUGCUAACAGUGUGUCUACAGUGUUUUUUAAAUGCAGGUAGUCCCGCAAAAAACGUGUAAUUGUCACGCCCUGUGUAGGCUCCCGUGUGACAGUUUGUUUAUGUUACCUUCUUUGGCUUUAGUUUCUGUUUGGACACCGUUAUUUUGCAUGCACUUCCUGCUUUGCCACGUUUUUCCCUGUGUUGCAAUUAUCACCCACACCUGUUCCUUAUUUCUGUUACCUAUUUAGUUCAGGUGUGUGCUUCUCCCCUUUGUGGGCUCAUUAUUGUUGGUUGCUCUGCCCUUCUCUGUUGCUGUAUCCUGCUGCCGCUAUUAUCAAAUUCAAAGCUUUUACCUGCAUUUGCUCCUGUUCUCUGCAUUCUGGGGUCGCACCGCAAAGCCAAAGAGCCCUGAUCUUGACAGUAAUAGCCACGUUUCCACUAUUGAUGUUGUGACGAAAUUGUCUGCACUAUGAAGUAAACACUUACGUUACCACUCGUUCAUACAUGGAAAAUCGAGGUUCUCCAACCAGUAGCUCCUAAACACUUUUCAAGUAGCGCUCCAAAAGGUUGAUUUAUUUAUUAUCAAUUCCUAAAUUGACAAAUUGACAUCUUUUGCAACUGUUCAUUGAUGAUUUAAAUAAUCAAUUCCAAUCAUUUUUUACAUUCCUAAUUCAUUUUACACAAUACACAUGAUUUGGACACACAUUAAGACACUUGGGAGCUGAAAGAGCCGGGCCGAGCCAAAAGAAGCGGCUGUCUAAAAAGAGACAUCACUACUGUCAUAGGUCUGUGUGACAAGGCAAGACCAAAAUAUUUCAUCCAGAUAUGGGAGGUCAAUACAGAUGUUUAUGUUUUGGUCAAUGUGGAUAUUUAACUUUUACCGCCAAAGAGAAGUAAAAACAAAGAGAUUGUUUUGGAUCAUUUUCUAACUAUAAAAAAAACAUUCUCAAUCCUGAGUAAAAUCAUGUUUUAAUGUUUACUUUUUUUUUGAAUUCUUAUCUGGGACUACUCCUCCGCUCUUCCUCCUCUUCCUCCUCCCCAUCCUCCCCCUCCUCUUCCUCCUCCUGCUCCUCCUCCACUAUAGCCACCGUACCCGAUACGGACCGGCUUUUUUGCCAAGCUUUUACCCCCAAAGCCCCUUUAUAGCCUCCACUACCUCUACCUUGAUCAUGUCCGGCCUCUGAGCUGGGUGUCAUUGUGGAUAAGAGCAGCACACACAGGGCCAAUAUCAGCAGUCUGGACAUGAUUGUUUACCUGUAAGGGAAAAAUCUAAUGAUUACCACCAUAAUAAACAUACUGUACUCUAACAUACUGUUACAUUAAUACCUGAGGUUUUUAUGUUGAGCUGCUAACUGAUUGAUAGUUUAAUUUUAGUUUCAGAAUGUGACCUUUGGCCUAUGUGAUCUUACCAGCUGGAGUCGAAAACAAACUGAUGCUCAUCAAGGCUGAUACUGAAGCAGCACGUUGGCGUUGGAGUGAGUAGAAAGAUGCUCUACCACUGACAAAUUGAAGUCAAUCGAAGUGAUCUUACCUGUUUGAGUCGGGAAACAAAGUUGUUGAGACUAUGCUUCACUCACUUCUUCACAUCGACUGAAACAGCACGUUGGUGUUGGAGGGAGCAGAAAGAUGCUCUACCACUGACAGUGUGGAUAUCAGGUUUGACAAGAAAGAGAUACGGCUGCAGCAGCCUCCUGGAUCGAUAGAUGAAUCGAUUAGAGAUACAUGCAACAGGUAUUGCAGACCUAGCAACCGGUUGUCUUAAACAAUAAGCCAGAGUCUGGGCUGGUGGCGAUUAUCUCACAUACGAGCUUACCGUGAAGACGACAAUGGAUGUACAGUUAAUAGUAGCAGCAAACUAGCUGACGGGAUA